rnacentral:misc_RNA from 1 species
UUGAGUGCCCUCCCGCCUCUCCGGCCACAGUUGCCCCGGCCACGCGUGGCACAUACCGCACUCACGAAAAGCGCAGACAAAGGAGCAUGCAAGACAGGGGCGCACCCACUCAGGACUUUGGCACCCGAUUCCGCUCUCAGACACCUGCGCGUAGCUUACCGUUUUUUCCGCUCUUUCGUUAGUCCUCCCUCCACACACACAGAAACACCUCCAAAGACAAGGGAACACCUCAAUGCAUGUGGCAUCUCAGGGGCCAGUGCACCACCCACUCCGUGUGUGAGGAAGCCAAGCAGUCCACCCACCCACCCCCUCCCGCCAUGAUGCCGAACCACCUCUGGUGAUGACAAGGGCAGGCACCUACGGCCUAGGGGAGGGGUCAGGGCGGUGUGUCGCUGCUGAUGUCGGCUCUCAGGCCCUGGAUGGCGUUUGCGUCGAAGCCUCCUGCGACAGUGGAUACAUUCGUGCCAUCUAUGUGGUGGGCAGAGCAUCAGCGUGGCUGGAACGUAUCCCGUCCCCGGCCCUCACACUGCCUACUGGUGUAUGGCGCCUGCGCGUCACCCCGACGGGGAUGCACCAGCUGGCGACCGGCAAAAUGGGAGUAGCUGUGAAGCCAUCUGGGAGGAGUCGGGUGGGUGGGUAGCGUUCGAGGCCGAUGCAGUACUCUCAGAUGGCCUCGUGGACGCACUGCUGUGAGGCGUGUCUGGCGCUGCUUCGCACGACGAGGUGAGGCCUGUAAACAGGCCCUAGGUAGAGUGGAACUGAUCUUGUGCGGCGAAGGGAAGCCGCAACGCUUUUUUUUUGUCUGCCCGCCAGACAUCUUAUCUGGCGCGUAUCAGACUCCAUCUUGUGAUGGCGUAUCGUUUCUCCCAGCCUUCCUUGUUGUUCACCCUCUGUCUGUUCCGCUACAGCAGGUGGAAGAGCGCCUGUCCAGCAUGCUGGCUUUUUUUUUUCCGGUAGGAGUGACGAAAUCUUCUUCGACAGUGGAACAGGGAGAAGCCGCUGGUGGCUCAACGGGGACGGCUGCGGUGCUUUGAGGAAUUUGCAUGGAGCGAAGUAAGCCCAACGACAAUGGCCGUGUGCGCGAAGCGCUCUCGAAGAGGAGCGUCGCGGGAUGGGAUUGCUUUUUUUUUUGCUUGGCCACUGACAGCUGCGAGAAUGAGUCGGCUGCUGCUGGCGGAACGAGCUGAGUGAGAGAGGGGAGGAAGGCGGAGACGGAGGAGAUGGCCGGCUAGCCCUCCUACCGCUCUUAUCAACGCGCACUGGUGCACCUGCGACGCGUUUUCGUGUUUUAUUUUAUGCUUCGUCGUAUACAACACGAGCGAAGCACACAUCGUCAAGACAAGGUGAUCGGAAGAGACAACCAACGAUCAAGAAAAAAAGGAGGGAACGAAAAGAGCACAAAAAGGACGCGCAAGGUGGAGCGGGAAAAAAAUUACACAGUGAAGAGGACUUCAGGACGCAAGGGAGAUGCGGUGCUGUGCUUGUAUACCGUUCCGCUUCAUUUAUGUAUCGCCCUUCUUGUUUUGCCUGUUGAUUUUGCUUGCUUUCUUUUCCUUUUCUUCUUCGUCUUGUCGUGUUUUGCCUACCACUGCCACUGCAACCAAG